rnacentral:rRNA from 1 species
AGUGAACGCUGGCGGUAUGCCUAACACAUGCAAGUCGAACGGCAGCACAGUAAGAUCUCGCUCUUACGGUUGGCGACUGGCGGACGGGUGACGCAUACAUCGCAUUCUUCUUUUUCGUGGGUGACUUCGUAGGGCAACUGACGCUAAUACCUCAUAUGUUCUACCGCAUAAUUCAGUAGUUCUUCGCACUUUUGCCGUUUGUUUUAGCCGAUGUCGGAUUAGCUAGUUGGCGAGGUAAAGGCCCACCAAGGCGACGAUCCGUAGCUGAUCUGAGAGGAUGAUCGGCCACACUGGAACUGAGACACGGUCCAGACUCCUACGGGAGGCAGCAGUGGGGAAUAUUGGGCAAUGGGCGAAAGCCUGACGGAGCAAUGCCGCGUGAUUUAAGAAGGUCUUCGGGUUGUAAAGCUCUGUUGUUGGGAAAGAACAACAGCGGAUGAAACUAUGCAUGUUCUGACGGUACCCAAAGAGUAAGCAACGGCUAACUUCGUG